rnacentral:tRNA from 1 species
GACGCCGGUGGCCGAGUGGUCGUCGUCGCCGACGCGUCGGUGCCGGUGGUGCAGGCACUGGUGCGGUUCGACGCCGCCGGCUUCGCC